ensembl:lncRNA
AAACGGCGGUGUUUGCCCAAGUGGUGAUCUGUUGAGGCAGUGUCUGAGAAGUCCUGGCUGACUUCUAUUGCAGACUGGGGCACAGAGGAAGGUCUGAGGAACAGCUGAGAAAGCAAACAACCAGACGAAGGAUUCACAUGAGUCUUCUUGAAGGCAUCCAAUGUAGUUGGAGGAGAAAAUGCCCUAAAGGCCUGCAUAUAAUGUAGGUAUGAGCUGUCUGCACCUCCCCAAACCAAGAACAUCCUCCCUUUUAUAUUUUUAUAUAUAUAUUUGUGUGUGUGUGACUUAUUUAAGGGAAUAACACUUAUUUCUAACAUGGGCUGGUUAGAAACCAAAUCCCAGCCCCAUCCGUUGGCUCCUUCAACAGAAGAACUCAAUGUGUUUCAAAUCAUGAGCGAGCACCGUCACAGCCUGCUGCCGGAUCUCAUUGAUCACUGGAACAACGAUAGCUCUGGAGUGCCAUCUGCUAUGAACAGGGCAUAGGGAGGCAAAGCUGGCUUGGUUUGGCUCCAUGCGUCUCCUGAACGCCCGCACGCUUCGCAGGCAGAGCUGCCGGAUCUUCAUCUGUGCAUCCCAGCCAGAGCUUCCCAGGUAAGCCGGCCUCAGCCAGAGAGGUGCCUUCAGCAGCACAGCACCUCCUCGUGUUCGCUGAGGAGAGCUGCCGGGACUGCAUCGCUGUCCUUCUCUAUGCUGGUCCUUUUAAGUGUAACAGGAGAGAUUUCCAGCAACUUUCGGUAGGGUAGCAGAAAACAAAUAUGGAAUUGGGCUUAAAAAACAGAUGUGGGAGCAUACUGACCGUGCUCUAAACAACAGCUUCUCUAAGUCUGAGCUGUGUGGUUUUAUUGCUUGUUUGAACGUGGC